rnacentral:rRNA from 1 species
AGCGAACGCUGGCGGCAGGCCUAACACAUGCAAGUCGAACGAAGCCUUCGGGCUUAGUGGCGGACGGGUGAGUAACACGUGGGAACGUACCUUUUGGUUCGGAACAACUCAGGGAAACUUGAGCUAAUACCGGAUGAGCCCUUAGGGGGAAAGAUUUAUCGCCGAAAGAGCGGCCCGCGUUAGAUUAGCUAGUUGGUGAGGUAAAGGCUCACCAAGGCAACGAUCUAUAGCUGGUCUGAGAGGAUGAUCAGCCACACUGGGACUGAGACGCGGCCCAGACUCCUACGGGAGGCAGCAGUGGGGAAUCUUGCGCAAUGGGCGAAAGCCUGACGCAGCCAUGCCGCGUGAAUGAUGAAGGUCUUAGGAUUGUAAAAUUCUUUUACCAGGGACGAUAAAGACGGUACCUGGAGAAAAAGCCCCGGCUAACUUCGUGCCAGCAGCCGCCGUAA